GGGCUUUAGCUUUUCAGCUGCCUGUUUUGAUUUUGCAUUUAGGGUCCUAUUUCUGUGCUUAUGGCACGAGCUCAGCAAUCGUGCUCCAGGUGAGCAACUGAAGUCCCCUCCUCACCCUCUUUCCUUGCAAUUUUCUCCCACCAUAGGGAUCUCCAUCCACCUCUCAGCAGCUGCUCUGAGAUCCUGGGGGAUCACUGGAACACUGGCAGGGCCAGGGCCAGAGCCAAGAUAAAGAGAGAUGAGAAAAAUUCAAGGCAUGGGGAAAAUGUAGCCCUACCCAAUUGUGGCAUAUUAUACACAGCAUCCCAUUUCUCCUAGGCAGCCCUUCACUCCCAUCCGUGUCUCAGCUACUGCUGCUGAAGCCAUUCCUACCGUAUCACUUCCUGCAUGCGGGGGUAUUUGCACGAGGCAUGUUCCUGAGACCACACUGUGCGAUUUGUUUGUGUUCUGGAUUAGUUUAAUGGAACUGCAAUACAACCUGCAAGACAGCUUCCCAACUGGUAAAUUGUGUUUAAACAGUGGAAAACAAAUACGCUUUCUUAAUGCUCCAGUCCUACAUCUGGUUGCUUAGCGUUGCUCCUAUCUCCGGUCCGUUUUGCAGUGCUUCAGCAAAACUGCCAAACAAGCUGGCCAAAAAUCAAUUGAACAGAGAUCAGAAGGAAAAAACAAAUGAGAUAUAACAGUCACUGAUGGGAUACACAGGCAUAUCAAUUUGGCAGCUGGUCAAACUCUUGGAGGCAAUCAGCCGUGCUCAUUAAAUGUCAGAGUUGUGAAUUUGCCUGGGGCGUUAUCAGCAAAGGCUUGAAAGUAGCCCAGCUCAGUUGAAAGAGAUUUUCUCCCCUGAAUUUUGGGUAAAUGGAUGAAUGAGAUGUCAAUAGCAACCCCACACCCCAGUUUUAGCUCCAGAACCUGAUUUCUGUGCCACAAAGCCAGGCUGUAGAUGGCAGAGGAGAAGUGUUUGACACAGAAGAUUCAAGAAGCAGCAGAUUCUCUGUGCACACUCAAACUUAGAAAGAAACACGCUGCUGUCACUGGGAUUGGUUUCCUUUAGGAUCACAGCAACUUAUGUGUUGCAUGACAAUUGCCAGGAGUUGACUUAAGAUUGAAGACAACCACAGUGAGGAAGAGAAAACCUAAUUCUUCUAGAAGUCAGCAAAGAACGAGCAGAAGCUCCCUUCCUUGACACUGCAUGAGCAGAGCACGGCCAGCUGCUGGCACAGGGCAGGAUCCCCACCCCACACCUGCUACCUUUCUCUUCUCUGCACCUCAAGUUGUCACUGCCUCCUUAGCUUUGAAAAGCAUAAAGCAGAAGACCCAAUGGCUUGCGCAUGUAUGGAGGCUUUGGGAAAAUACUGGGGAAAGAGUUUAUACUGUGUAGAUAGGAGGAACGCCGUCCUUUUGUUGUUGUUGUUUGUUUGUUUUUUGCACCUGACAGAAGUCUCAGUAAUGAUAGGUUUUAAGCCAAUUAUUAUUCACAUAUCUCUGUGCAAAUCAGAGAGGUUUCCCACAGACAAACCAGUUACCCAGCACGGCCUAGGUUGUGAAAUACGCACUUGGCUAAGAGCUUUGCCUCACUAACGACCUUGGAAUAUGACCUUUAAUUCUGAACGUGUGUCUGUACAAACAAGCCAUCACAAUUUGUCUGCACUGUGCUCGUCACAAAAACCAUCCAUACAGAAAGGACCUGGAGCUGAAUGGUCCCCAGCCGGCUUCAUUGCGCAAUUGUACAAACACCGGUGCCAGCACAAAUAAGGGACGAUGAAAUAGCCAGUGCUGCUGGCCAGGUUUCUUCUCUCUGCACUGCUAGCUUGGCUAGCUGAAGCCAUCCACAAAUGCAUGUGGGACACCUGCUCCUAUUCAGUGAACAUAAAACCCUGAGAUUGUUAUUUGGAUUCUCCUGCCAUUCUGCACAGAUCCCAGUAUCGGCUCACUUGUGCUGCACUUUGCUUAAUUUCCGUGUGCUGCGUGCUUUUUAAUUCAUCCCUGGAUGCAUUCAAGGCCAGGCUGGAUGUGGCUCUGGGCAGCCUGGUCUGGUGGUUGGAGACCCUGCCAGUUGCAGGGGGAUUGAAACUGGGUGAUCAUUGUGGUCCUUUUCAACCCAGGCCUUUCUAUGAUUCAGUGAUUCCAUGAUUCUAAAUAUUCACAUGGCACUAUCUGGAGGAGAGUGCUUCAGAAGAGAAUGAGCCUAUAACACCAAAUCAUCUCCUGCUGAGCACCACCAAAGCACCACAACCUUGAAUGAUGGAUGGGCCGAUUUUGUGUUACUUAUGUUGCCCUAAAGGCUGCAUUUCGAAACUUGAAAUGUAUGGAUUAGAAAAGCUGACAACUCGUUCUGCUCAAGCUGUUUAAUAGCUCUGCACAGAUCCUGUUUCAAAAGCUUGCUUUCAAGGGAGGGAAUAUAUCCAACUUGCAGAGACCAACUUCCUUCUCAGUUUAGGUGAAUAAACUCUUCCAAAUAUUUAUAAACUGAUUUAAGCUAACAAAGUCAAGGAAAUCGGUAUUAAAACUCAAACUCCUGCUCGAUGGUCUAUUUGUAGUUCAGCCAGUGGUAAUGAGCCAGAUUCUUGCCUAGAAUAAAUGGGCAUAAAUCCACUUAAGCCAUGCAAGAAUGUUGAUUUAUGCUUGCUGCAAAUCUGACCUUUAUUUCAGUAUUUCACGGUAAGCUCCAAUCCUCUUUGCGCUGCUCAUUUAUUGGAAUGGAAUUAGAUUUACCAAGGUAUGCUCGGACAAAAUGGAUUGCUUUUCUCUCCGAUUUCUGUUUGUGCCAGGGAUAACACGGCGGGCUAUCUGGCUGAAAAACUGUUCAGAAGAUAUUUUGGGGGAGCAAGUCAGCAGCGAUAGCAUCGUUCAUUGCAGCACCACACUUUCUUUGCUUCUCAGAGUUGCACCAAAUGAAUACAGUGUGCUCUACAAAUUGCAGAGCCCUUCCAGGAAAUCUGAGUUGAACGUGAAGAACUGAGUUUGAAAUAUGUUCCGCUAAUAAACAGUUGCAUAAAAAACUUAAAUAUGUGCAGCCAAGUGAUUUGCUGAAGGUGUUUUAGAAUGAAAAUACCUUUUUGUUUGCUCAACUGAAACUACGUUGCUCCAAAUGACCUCAUGUUCUUUAUUUCUAAGCCCACCAGCCCUGCACUGAGGCUCAACAUACUGCAAGAUGCCGGACUUACCAGAGGAAGAUAGUCAGUAACUUAUUAUAUUAGCUUUACAUACAGUACUCUUGAUUUUUGGCAAUAGUAGCUGCAUGGCAAAUCCUGCCUGUCACUGCAGUGAGCCAUGCUGAGAAAACUGCCUGUGUGAUGAGGGGACUGUAAAGUGCUCCAUGUGGGGGCUGCACUCAGAAGACAGAGCUCGUGGCAGAGGAAGCAAUCUGUUUGCUACAUUCUGUUUCACACAGGUAACACCUCACGCUGCUGUUUUCAGCCUGCACUAGGUUUUGACUCGUUACCUGAUGAUGGCUGAAGUGUUAUUUUGCAGCUAAUUGCUUACAGCCUGGCUACCAGAUAAAGACUUCUCUAAUGCAACAGUACAGCCAUAGGGAUUUGGCAGAGAAACAUGAAGGUUGGUAUGGACAAAGUAUGAUUGGCAGUGUACGAGUGCAAAAUCAUCAAGAAAAACAAGAAGGGCUAAAGGAGGGGCAGGAGCAGAUGUGCCAAAAUCAGAAGGUCACCAGGAUUGCAGCAUACGCUGUGCAGCUUCUCAAGGACCUGGCUCUGGAAAACCUCAGGCUGCCUUCUGGUGAGCCUCCUGAUGAAGGCAGCUUGGCUCCAGCUCUCUCUCCUAGUGGACCUUGGACCUACCCUGUGGCUUUGUCUUCAGCCCUACAGUGGUGGCCAAAGGUGGACCUUAGACCUGUUUUGCAGCCUUGUCUCAGCCUUCCCUCUGGUCCCAUCUCCUGUUGCUUCUGGGUGGACCAUGGAGUCCAUUAGCUGACCUGCCUAGUUUGGACUCUGGACCUGAUUAAUUUGCCUCAAUGGGACUGUUUGUGGACUCUAUUAUCAUAAUCACUAUCUAUUAUCUGAAGGACUGCGCCCAGCUGGUGAAGGCACUGCCUGUGCUUGGUCAGCAGCUCCUGGCUUGUACCAGUGCAAGUCAUGCAUGUAUGUGGCCGUGCACAUCUCCAGCUUCAUGCAUAUGAAAGGAAAGGUUAGAAAUGUUAGGAAAUGUUAGAAAUGUUAGGAAAGGUUAGAAAUGGCCUAUAAGAGAAAGUGAGUGAAAUCAGUUUAAAAUCAAACUUCUCUACCUAGGCUGUUUUGCAUCAUACUUGGAUACACUGGCUAAACAUAAGCAGUGGAAAUACAGAAUGUAGUACUCUGAUUUGAUGGAGAGGUGAAGGUAUGUUCUGUCCUUGAUUCUGUACCUUGUUCCCUGAUUAUAUACAAAAGAGAUUGGAUUUGUUAAAUUGGAGUAUGGGGGCACUCGGUAAUCUGGACAUGAGUUUCUUUAGGAGAAAAGAGGUUGAGAUUAAGAGGUGUAAUAGUGAGAGAGCAGAAGAAUUUCGAGAAGCAGUUCAUUUUUGAGAUUGCUUUCAUUUGGCAGCUUAUUGUAUUUUUAUUUUCACAUAUAACGUAGUACAGAUCAGUAGAAUCAGCCAGGAUCCCGACUUUCAGGAAUGCCAUGGUCCUGAUGGAGAUCUUCCAGUCAGGCUUGUUUGGGAAAUAAAUCCAAAUAUUUCAGUUGCAAAGAAGAUGCUUUGGCUCCAAAGCAAUAUGAGAAAAUGUACAAUCUAUUUGAUCCGCUUCAGAUGCCACAACCAUCUGCAACUGCAUGUGGCAAACACGUGUUUCUCAGAUUCACGGGCAUGUGUGAUUGCAAAGAGAGCUGAAUACUUGCAGCAAAAUAGAUAAAGCUUUGGUAUGCUCCUUUUGUUAUGUAGUUAUCUCUCAGCAGCUCUCCGCGGAAAGAUCUCCUCCUUGAGGACUCUGGAGGGUUCGAAUCCCACAGUCAAGUGAUGCAGAGCCUUUCAAGGCAAGACACUGUGUAGAAAAGUGCCUGUCAAGCAGCCAGCGCGAACAACAAGGGCUGGCACCGGGGAAGGGUCACAGAUGCCUGUUCGAAUGUGCUAUUGUGCAACAUCGCCGCCUACUGCGGGCUCCAGCUGCUGCUAUAGUAAAGGCACCAGCGCCAUCUGCCUUCCCAAACCCAACUCAAUCAAGAAGAAAAGGUCCUCAUGGAGGACUCCUAUGGGCUACCGCCUUCGUUUCUAAACUUCACCUUUCUAAUAUCCAUCGUUGUUCUUAAUUCUUACACCUUACGUGUUUCUUUGCUCUCGAGUAGAAAGCACAAACUGAUGAGCGGUGACAUGGGCUGGUGGGUGUGUGCCACUGCACUGCAUCCUCCCGUGUGAUACGGAGAGAGGGCAAAGGAGCUUCACAGUAAGCACCCACGCAGCCGUCUCUGUACGUACAUGCAUGUGCUCACAGCCGCUCCAUUGGGCUGUCCUUUCCAUGCAUCGGAAGUAGCAUUUUCACAUAGUCGGUAUUUGCACCGUCUCUUAGAUGGGAGCUCAGAUGGAAUGCAGGCAGCAGCUUUGGUUAUAGGUGGCUUCUAGGGCAGGGAGCUUCCCAGCACUGAACGAUGGAUCAGUGGGAAGCUGCCUGUUGAAUCAGGACGGCUGUCUCACAGUCCAGGUUUUCUAUCAGGGACAUUCUCCCCAGAGGCUCAUGUUUCCCCAGCAACCUAUAUCAGCCUAAUCUCCAUCACAGAGGAAAGCCUCCGUUGCUUUGCAGCCUUUCCUACGUUGUUCUUAUUAACUCAGUAUCAUCUGGGCACUAUAUUUGCACUUCAGUGUUUCAAUACUGCUUUUUCACAUUUGUUUAGUUUGUUGACUUUUGGUUUUUUUUCUUUGCCUUCCUGUUAGCAGCUUUGGGAAGGAGGAUACACUUAUAAAACAAUCUUUUCUUUGGAUCAUAUUUUCAGAAUUCUACCUACUCUCUCUCUAUAUGUAUGCACAUACCACAUCAUAGGCAUUUUAGUUUUGUAUUUCCUAUAUGCUUUUGUGGGCUUUUUGACAUAUUUAAGCAACUCUUGUUACUUUUGGUAAUGAAAGUAUUAAAUAGACUAAACAACUAAAUUAAACAUAAUAGCUUUCUCUUUUCCUAUUCUUAUUUCUUCUACAGUUAAAAGAACACUUUGCAAAUACAGCUAUUCCUUCAGCUGUUUUUACUCAGAAUCAUCACCCUCCAGUUCUGGCAGAUCUGAUUUCAUUCUUCCUUUUCCCUCUAAGAUGUACUUCCAUCAGUAGCGUCCUUACUUACUAGGGAGUCCACAGGACCCAGUUCUUCACCCCUGUGAUGGAGUUCACCCACUGACUUUAGUGCUCACAUGCAGGCUCAGAGCGCUGCAUGGCUGACUGCUGGGUGAGGCGCAGAUUUGUGUGCACCUGCAGUUGUCCUGAAACAAACCAAGGCAGUUGUUUGGAAAUCUGUCUCAAAGAGUAGUGAAGUUUGUUUCUUGGUGUCUUGUGUGUUUCUGUCUCCCAAAUACAGGAAUUUAAAAGUAAUGUUUUGUGAAAUACGUUGUUUUUUAAUAUAUGCAGUUUAGAUCAGCAGUAACUUUAGAUCACCUACAGAGGAAUUUGUAUUCUCUGAAUUACCUUGCAUUCCUUGUAAGGGAGCUGUGCCCUUCCACGUCCAGCUGAGCCAUUAAACAAUGAACUUCUCUAGUUAAACCUCUUCCAUUAACACAUUUAAGUACCUAAAAGAUAGCAAAGAUACGAGUGAGAUUACAUUGUCUAGAAUAAAUCAUGUCAAACAAGGUCAUUUCCCACUCUGAUGAGGUAGCACUGUUUAUAGCAGAAAAGCAGGUGCAGAUAUCUUGUUUUUAGGAGGACUUCUAACACUGUCUCACAGGAAUGGUGGUCUCACAAGCAAGCUGUAGGAAAUCUUGAAUGGAAGAGUGCAUGGUUGGGUGUAGAACUGGACUUAAAGAGUACUUUGCAGGAACACAUUGUUAUCUUGGCCAGACACCAAGCAGAAUUCUACAGGAGUAUUUCCAUAGCGCCAAUUUGACAUUUUCAUCAGAUCAUUUGGAUGGUGUAUAAGAAAAAUUGCUUACCAAACCCACUGCUGGGAGGGGCAGCGAGUGCAGUAGGAUACUGCUGUAGAACUUGGCAAAGUAUGGUCAGGGGGAAAAAGUAAUUCAAAAGACGUACUUUCACUCUUUGCUUUUGGCAGCAUUACCAACAUCCCAGAUGCAGGUUGUGGAAUUACAGGUCUGGUGGCAUCACAAUGUAAACACACUGUGUGGUUAGCAUGGGUCACAAAGCAAGCAGGAGUCAGCCACGUCACACUGUAACAAAAACAUCAAACAGCACCAGGGGAUAUAUAAAAAGAAAGAGCAUUUGACAGGCAGAUGAAGCCAUUCUCCUGUUAUGUUUGGGGCUGGUAAACAUCCCGUUGGUGUACUGUACUCUGCUUUGGCUAGAAUAGAGAAUUAGAAGUGUUGUGAGGAAACACUGGUGGAAAAGUAGUGGUUUGUCCUAAGGAAGGGGAGAUGUGGCAGGGCAUCCCUAAAUAUGCACGCUGUAUUCCUAAGGGAGAGAGCAACAAACGUCUGCUGAAAAGGUUUGGUGGGCAUCAGAGAUCUGGGUUACAGGCUAGAAAAGCUUUCUCAUGGUGCAGUUAAGGAAACAGAGGGAGAGGUUACUAUGGGGCAUGACAGCCUUGUUUUGUUAGUUCUCAAGUACAGAUUGGACACGUUUAUGUCAGGAAUGACCUCAACACGAUUGAUCCUGCUUUUCGGGAAGGAAGGAGACACUCCCCAACCCAGUUUUGCUGACAUUCCUAUUUGGAGCCAAAGACACCUAAGUUAGAAGUCUAAAUUACCCACUGUGAACACCAGCUAAUUAUCAUCCCGAGACUCUUGAUUUCCAUUUCUGUUUAAUAUAUCAUUAGGAAAACAUCUUAGAAGUCAGUAAUUUAACUCCAAAGUAGCUAUAAUGUAGGCUGGCACCAUGCAGUGCAAACUCUAUUCUUUCAAACCUGUGUUUUCCAAGUCCCGGGCUUCCUUUGAGCACACACUGCCAGUUCUGCUGACAUCUAACUGGUUUAUGAUCUAGGGACCCAUCUGCUGGACAUUAGGACGAUCCAGUUUAUCUAAUAAAGGCUUUAUUAGUACACCCACGUAACUUAGUGCAGAAAGGAUGACGGAUGGAAAGAGGAAAGGAUAACUUACACGUAUAUUAUUCAUCCUGAAAAUGCUAAAACUCAGGCUCAGAACAGUCUUUGAUGUUUGACCUCUGCAGAUAGUCUGUAAUUAAGUCUGUAAUCCUCUAAACACUUAAAGUUAAUAGGAUUAACCGUAUGCCUGAAGUGUGUGUGGCCGGUGUGCAAAACUGUCAUAGAGUGCAGCUGAUGAAAAAACUUGUGACAAAGACAUUUUCCAGUGGAAUACUGUCUGCUACUUCCUAAGUAUGUUCUGACCACUUCUAAUCCUCACUAAUUUCCUCACGUGAGAAUGUUUAAUAAAAAUAAAGGUUAACAAAGUUCUUGUUUGCAAAAGCAUUGUACACAGAAACAGCAGAUGGGUGAAGUUUUUCUAAGGCAGAAAUGACAGGGCGUGGGAGCUUGGAGAGGGGUUAUUG
ensembl:lncRNA